rnacentral:rRNA from 1 species
GAUGAACGCUGGCGGCGUGCCUAAUACAUGCAAGUCGAGCGAACAGACGAGGAGCUUGCUCCUCUGACGUUAGCGGCGGACGGGUGAGUAACACGUGGAUAACCUACCUAUAAUACUGGGAUAACUUCGGGAAACCGGAGCUAAUACCGGAUAAUAUAUUGAACCGCAUGGUUCAAUAGUGAAAGACGGUUUUGCUGUCACUUAUAGAUGGAUCCGCGCCGCAUUAGCUAGUUGGUAAGGUAACGGCUUACCAAGGCAACGAUGCGUAGCCGACCUGAGAGGGUGAGCGGCCACACUGGAACUGAGACACGGUCCAGACUCCUACGGGAGGCAGCAGUAGGGAAUCUUCCGCAAAGGGCGGAAGCUUGACGGAGCAACGCCGCGUGAGUGAUGAAGGUCUUCGGAUCGUAAAACUCUGUUAUUAGGGAAGAACAAAUGUGUAAGUAACUAUGCACGUCUUGACGGUACCUAAUCAGAGAGCCACGGCUAACUACGUG